UUCGCCCUUAGAGUUUGAUCCUGGCUCAGAGCGAACGCUGGCGGCAGGCUUAACACAUGCAAGUCGAGCGGGCCCUUCGGGGUCAGCGGCAGACGGGUGAGUAACGCGUGGGAACGUGCCCUUCGGUUCGGAAUAACCCUGGGAAACUAGGGCUAAUACCGGAUACGCCCCUUGGGGGAAAGGUUUACUGCCGAAGGAUCGGCCCGCGUCUGAUUAGCUAGUUGGUGAGGUAACGGCUCACCAAGGCGACGAUCAGUAGCUGGUCUGAGAGGAUGAUCAGCCACACUGGGACUGAGACACGGCCCAGACUCCUACGGGAGGCAGCAGAAGGG
rnacentral:rRNA from 1 species